GAGAGAGAGAGAGAGAGACAAAGUUGAUGGCCAGGAGACAACGUUGUAUUGCGAGGAAAGCGAGGAAGAUAUGGUAGUGAAGAGAGCUCCAUUAUCCACAGACAUGAAUUAACAAAUGCUCUCUCCCGUCUAUUUCUGGAUUGCCAUUCUUUCCUUCUUAUUACACUGAUUUUUAAUUUGGGGUUGGGAUUAGUUAAUUUCUUGUUAACAAUUAUCAUAAAAUUGCCAUUCUUUCCUUCUUAUUACACUGAUUUUUAAUUUGGGGUUGGGAUUAGUUAAUUUCUUGUUAACAAUUAUCAUAAAAUUGCCAUUGCCUUCUAAAUUAUUAUAAUAAUUAUCUUGUGUUUUUAGUCAAAAACUGGUUUACGUGAAUAUG
rnacentral:misc_RNA from 1 species